rnacentral:lncRNA from 1 species
UAGAUAUAGGAAGAUGUGGUGUGAGUGCCAAUGAGACAACUCUCCAUCCAAAUAACAAUUUAAAGAAAGUAAACCAUUAUAGGUCAAUGCACGGCCUUCAACACAGAGCCUUGGCUCACACCGAACAACAAGCUAUAAAGGGCCCCAAAAUUACUAGUGUAAAACCAUUCAAACGGGAAAACCAACGGUCUAAUCUAUAUAAAAUAAAAAGACGAGAAACGAGAAACACGUAUAAAUUACAUAAACAAACGACAACUACUGUACAUCAGAUUCCUGACUUAGGACAGGUGCAAACAUUUGCAGCGGGAUUAAACGUUUUAAUGGAUCCAAACCUUCUCCCUUUUUCUGAAACAAUAGCAUAACAUCACAACAUAGAAAAACACACGAUAAAAUAUCAAUUGGCAGGC